rnacentral:rRNA from 1 species
GUAGGGGGCUAGCGUUGUCCGGAGUUACUGGGCGUAAAGGGUGUGUAGGCGGUUUUCUAAGUCUGGUGUGAAAUCUCCCGGCUCAACUGGGAGGGUGCGCCGAAAACUGGAAGGCUAGAGUGCGGGAUGGGUAAGUGGAAUUCCUGGUGUAGCGGUGAAAUGCGUAGAUAUCAGGAGGAACACCUGUGGUGUAGACGGCUUACUGGACCGCAACUGACGCUGAGACACGAAAGCGUGGGUAGCAAACAGGAUUAGAUACCCUGGUAGUCCACGCCCUAAACGAUGCAUAUUUGGUGUGGGCCAUUCAUUUGGUCUGUGCCGGAGCUAACGCGUUAAAUAUGCCGCCUGGGGAGUACGGUCGCAAGGCUG